GAGACACCCUUAUGGGGCAGGAUUGCAUCAGUGGGGUUUUGCUGCUCACUGAGCCUGCCCCUUGAGUGUGUCACU
rnacentral:pre_miRNA from 1 species